UAUCCUUUGGGUAGAUUAAGAUGGGACUA
rnacentral:piRNA from 1 species